UGAGGAAUAUUGGUCAAUGGGCGGGAGCCUGAACCAGCCAAGCCGCGUGAGGGAUGAAGGCCCUAUGGGUCGUAAACCUCUUUUGUCAGGGAACAAAAGCGAGUAUGUAUACUAGUCUGAGUGUACCUGAAGAAAAAGCAUCGGCUAACUCCGUGCCAGCAGCCGCGGUAAUACGGAGGAUGCGAGCGUUAUCCGGAUUUAUUGGGUUUAAAGGGUGCGUAGGCGGCGAUGCAAGUCAGCGGUAAAAGCCCGGGGCUCAACCCCGGCGAGCCGUUGAAACUGCAGUGCUAGAGAAGGCGAGAGGUACGCGGAAUGCGCAGUGUAGCGGUGAAAUGCUUAGAUAUUGCGCAGAACUCCGAUUGCGAAGGCAGCGUACUGGCGCCUGACUGACGCUGAGGCACGAAAGCGUGGGGAUCGAACAGGAUUAGAUACCC
rnacentral:rRNA from 1 species